rnacentral:rRNA from 1 species
UACGUAGGUGGCAAGCGUUACUCGGAAUCACUAGGCGUAAAGCGCGGGUAGGCGGUUCGAUAAGUCUCUUGUGAAAGCUCCUGGCUUAACUGGGAGAGGCCAAGGGAAACUGUCGGGCUCGAGUGUGGCAGAGGAAGCUGGAAUUCCCGGUGUAGCGGUGAAAUGCGUAGAGAUCGGGAGGAAUACCUAUGGCGAAAGCAGGCUUCUGGGCCAUCACUGACGCUGAUCCGCGAAAGCUAGGGGAGCAAACAGGAUUAGAUACCCUGGUAGUCCUAGCCCUAAACGAUACUCAUUAGGUGUGGGAGGUAUCGACCCCUUCCGCGCCGAAGCUAACGCAUUAAAUGAGCCGCCUGGGGAGUACGGCCGCAAGGUUGAA